rnacentral:rRNA from 1 species
UCACGGGGGAAGCGGAUCGCGUUGGAUUGAUGGGCGCUUGCGUGUUCAGCCUUCGGGUGCAUUGGCGCAAGUUGCUUAUCCGCUGUGGGUUUUCGGGGGUCGAUUUUGGACCCCUGGGGACUGAGGGCUCCCUUUUAAUAGGUUGAGGACAGCGGAGUGACGACGCGAUACGACCCGUCUUGAAACACGGACCAAGGAGUCUAGCGCGGGUGCGAGUCGGAGGGUGCAAGCCCGUGGGCGAAGUGAAAGCGAGUGUAAAAACGAGCAGUUUGGGGCGGCAUAAGAUCGUUGAUCUUAAGACCGACCCAGAGCAGUUGCGCUGGGACCCGAAAGAUGGUGAACUAUGCCGGAGUAGGGCAAAGCCAGAGGAAACUCUGGUGGAGGCUCGUAGCGGUGCUGACGUGCAAAUCGCUCGUCGAACUUGGGUAUAGGGGCGAAAGACUAAUCGAACCAUCUAGUAGCUGGUUCCCUCCGAAGUUUCUCUCAGGAUAGCGGGCCGACUGAAGUUGUUUUGUGC